rnacentral:sRNA from 1 species
GCUGGGCAUGGUGGUGCAUGCCUGUAAUCCUGGUGGCUCUUAGGAGGCUGAGGCAGGAGGAUCUCAAGUUCAAAGCCAGCGUCAGCAACUUAGUGAGGCCCUAAGCAAUUCAGGGAGACCCUGUUUCUA